GAUUGCUACCUAUGCCUAGAUCGCGGAUAAAUGGAAAUUUUAUUGAUAAGACCUUUUCAAUUAUAGCCAAUAUCUUAUUACAAAUAAUUUCGUAUGCCUAGAUCGCGGAUAAAUGGAAAUUUUAUUGAUAAGACCUUUUCAAUUAUAGCCAAUAUCUUAUUACGAAUAAUUCCGACAACUUCAGGAGAAAAAGAGGCAUUUACCUAUUACAGAGAUGGUGCGAUUUGAUUCUUUUUUUUAUUGCUCUCAAUAUUACGAGAAAGAUAUAUAAUAGAAAUAAAAAUUUUGAAAAAAAAAAUCUACGCUUGUUGAAGGUAAAGUUUGGAAAUAGAACAAUUCCUUCUGUCGUGUAUCCUCCGUUAAUGUAACCUCAGAUGCUAUGGUUUAAUUGUCGACUCUAGUAUUGAGCGAAAGGCUACACCUAUAGGU
rnacentral:lncRNA from 1 species